rnacentral:rRNA from 1 species
GGAAGGCAGCAGGCGCGCAAAUUACCCACUCCCAGAACGGGGAGGUAGUGACGAAAAAUAACAAUACGGGACUCUUUUGAGACCCCGUAAUUGGAAUGAGUACACUCUAAAUCCUUUAACGAGGAUCCAUUCGAGGGCAAGUCUGGUGCCAGCCGCCGCGGUAAUUCCAGCUCGAAUAGCGUAUAUUAAAGUUGUUGCGGUUAAAAAGCUCGUAGUUGGAUCUCAGUUCCAGACGGGUGGUCCGCCAAACGGUGGUUACUGCCCGUUCUGAACAGCCAGCCGGUUUCUCUUGAUGAUCUUCACCGGUUGUCUCGGGUGACCGGCAAGUUUACUUUGAAAAAAUUAGAGUGCUCAAAGCAGGCGCGACGCCUGAAUAAUGGUGCAUGGAAUAAUGGAAUAGGACCUCGGUUCUAUUUUGUUGGUUUUCGGAACACGAGGUAAUGAUUAAGAGGGACAGACGGGGGCAUUCGUAUUGCGACGCUAGAGGUGAAAUUCUUGGACCGUCGCAGGACGAACUACUGCGAAAGCAUUUGCCAAGAAUGUUUCCAUUAAUCAAGAACGAAAGUUAGAGGUUCGAAGACGAUCAGAUACCGUCCUAGUUCUAACCAUAAACGAUGCCAGCCAGCGAUCCGGCUGUGUUCCUCAAAUGACACGCCGGGCAGCUUCCGGGAAACCAAAGCUUUUGGGUUCCGGGGGAAGUAUGGUUGCAAAGCUGAAACUUAAAGGAAUUGACGGAAGGGCACCACCAGGAAUGGAGCCUGCGGCUUAAUUUGACUCAACACGGGAAAACUUACCCGGCCCGGACACAGGAAGGAUUGACAGAUUAAGAGCUCUUUCUUGAUUCUGUGGGUGGUGGUGCAUGGCCGUUCUUAGUUGGUGGAGCGAUUUGUCUGGUUAAUUCCGAUAACGAACGAGACUCUAGCCUACUAAAUAGACGUUCCGAUCAUCUGCGUCGGACGUUCUUCUUAGAGGGACAAGCGGCGUUUAGCCGCACGAGACAGAGCAAUAACAGGUCUGUGAUGCCCUUAGAUGUCCGGGGCCGCACGCGCGCUACAUUGAAGGAAUCAACGUGUGCUUUCCCGGUCCGACAGGACUGGGUAACCCGUUGAAACUCCUUCGUGCUGGGGAUUGUCCAUUGCAAUUACGGACAUGAACGAGGAAUUCCCAGUAAGCACGAGUCAUUAGCUCGUGUUGAUUACGUCCCUGCCCUUUGUACACACCGCCCGUCGCUACUACCGAUUGAAUGAUUUAGUGAGGUCUUCGGACUGGCGCUCGGAGCGGCCCUCGGGUCGCGCCGAAGUGCCGGAAAGAUGACCAAACUUGAUCAUUUAGAGGAAGUAAA